rnacentral:rRNA from 1 species
CGAACGGGUGAGUAAUACAUCGGAACGUGUCCGCUCGUGGGGGACGAACCAGCCGAAAGGUUGGCUAAUACCGCAUGAGUUCUACGGAAGAAAGAGGGGGACCCGCAAGGGCCUCUCGCGAGCGGAGCGGCCGAUGACUGAUUAGCCUGUUGGCGAGGUAACGGCUCACCAAAGCAACGAUCAGUAGCUGGUCUGAGAGGACGACCAGCCACACUGGGACUGAGACACGGCCCAGACUCCUACGGGAGGCAGCAG